UCCUUGCAGAUUCUGAUGAUUUCAAAAAUCUCAUUCAGCUUCAUCAAGAGGUUGCCAUAAAGUUCAUAUCAAAGGU
rnacentral:sRNA from 1 species